UACGUAGGGUGCGAGCGUUACUCGGAAUUACUGGGCGUAAAGCGUGCGCAGGCGGUUCGUUGUGUCGGCGGUGAAAGCCCCGGGCUUAACCUGGGAAUGGCCGUCGAAACUGGCGAACUGGAGUGUGGCAGAGGGGGGUGGAAUUCCGCGUGUAGCAGUGAAAUGCGUAGAUAUGCGGAGGAACACCGAUGGCGAAGGCAAUCCCCUGGGCCUGUACUGACGCUCAUGCACGAAAGCGUGGGGAGCAAACAGG
rnacentral:rRNA from 1 species